rnacentral:lncRNA from 1 species
GGCGCUCAGCCCCGACGCAUCGACGCGGACCUGGCACCGACGACACAUCGGCCCCUUACACGGACCGAUGCAUCUACGAUGACGGGAGUCAAUACUCCUUCGACGACUCGUCGGACCUUCACGAGGGCCGACGGACUCUUAUAAACGGGAGUUACACUCCUUCGACUUUCAGCAACACAUCCGCCCCUGACAAAGGCCGAUGCAGCUGUUGCAACGGGAGUUCAUACUCCUUCUACGGUCGAAUUUUCGGGCAGAAUCCAUCGGC